rnacentral:rRNA from 1 species
AUACGGGGGGUGCAAGCGUUGUUCGGAAUUAUUGGGCGUAAAGGGCGCGUAGGCGGUCCCGCAAGUCUUUCGUGAAAUCCCACAGCUCAACUGUGGAACUGCGAGGGAAACUGCAGGACUUGAGUCCGGGAGAGGAGAGUGGAAUUCCCAGUGUAGCGGUGAAAUGCGUAGAUAUUGGGAGGAACACCGGUGGCGAAGGCGGCACUCUGGACCGGUACUGACGCUGAGGCGCGAAAGCUAGGGGAGCAAACGGGAUUAGAAACCCCAGUAGUCC